CACGUAGGGGGCAAGCGUUGUCCGGAUUUAUUGGGCGUAAAGAGCUCGUAGGCGGCUCAGUAAGUCAGGUGUGAAACCUCCAGGCUCAACCUGGAGACGCCACCUGAUACUGCUGUGGCUAGAGUCCGGUAGGGGAGCGUGGAAUUCCUGGUGUAGCGGUGAAAUGCGCAGAUAUCAGGAGGAACACCAGCGGCGAAGGCGGCGCUCUGGGCCGGAACUGACGCUGAGACGCGAAAGCGUGGGGAGCAAACAGG
rnacentral:rRNA from 1 species